AAAUAUAUUUAUAUGCGUUAUUAGACUUGCUUGGAUGAUGCUUCUGGAAGACUUCUCAUGUUUCAUCCUGUCUAGAAAACAAAGUAGAAAUUGAAGAUUGCAGGUCUUUCAAGGUCAGAAUGAAAAGCCCAAGGUGUGAUUAGGGAAAUGGUGCUUUGAAUGAUGCAAGAAGAUGAAGU